rnacentral:rRNA from 1 species
UCCGUAGGGUGCGAGCGUUGUCCGGAAUUAUUGGGCGUAAAGAGCUCGUAGGCGGUUUGUUGCGUCGGCCGUGAAAACUCAGGGCUUAACUCUGAGCCUGCGGUCGAUACGGGCAGACUUGAGUUCGGUAGGGGAGACUGGAAUUCCUGGUGUAGCGGUGAAAUGCGCAGAUAUCAGGAGGAACACCGGUGGCGAAGGCGGGUCUCUGGGCCGAUACUGACGCUGAGGAGCGAAAGCGUGGGGAGCGAACGGG